rnacentral:lncRNA from 1 species
AUAUACUCUCCCUAAUGAGAUGGAUGGGCAUCGAGUAGAUCUUAAACAUUCUCAAUGGACAAUUUAUCAGUAAAGAAUGAGGGGCAUGGGGAAACUCACUGAAAAGGCAGGCGGAAAAACCUAAGUUUAGGUGGUGUUUAGAUUGAGAAAAUUUUUGAGAAGUGUCACGUCAAAUGUUUAACCGGAUGUCGGAAGGGGUUUUCGGACACAAAUGAAAAAACGAAUUUCA